AUGAGCAUCCGCAUAUCAAUGAUCUUGCGUAUAUGCCUGCAACCAAAGAUGGACGAUUUGGAUUCAACCUGCUUGUGGGUGGAUUCUUCAGUCCGAAGCGAUGUGCAGAGGCAAUUCCUCUUGAUGCAUGGGUUCCAGCUGAUGAUGUAGUCCCUGUUUGCAAAGCUAUAUUAGAAGCUUAUAGAGAUCUUGGUACCCGAGGGAACAGGCAGAAAACAAGAAUGAUGUGGUUAAUUGACGAACUGGGUGUUGAAGGAUUCAGGGCAGAAGUUGUGAAGAGAAUGCCCCAAAAGAAGCUAGAUAGAGAAUCUUCAGAGGAUUUGGUCCUGAAACAAUGGGAAAGGAGAGAGUACCUUGGCGUGCAUCCGCAGAAACAGGAAGGAUACAGCUUUGUUGGUCUUCACAUUCCGGUUGGUCGUGUCCAAGCAGAUGACAUGGACGAGCUAGCUCGUUUGGCUGAUGAGUAUGGUUCAGGAGAACUCCGGUUGACUGUUGAACAGAACAUCAUUAUUCCCAACAUCGAGAACUCAAAGAUCGAUGCAUUACUCAAUGAGCCUCUCCUAAAGAACAGAUUUUCACCUGAUCCACCUAUUCUCAUGAGAAAUUUGGUGGCUUGUACUGGUAACCAAUUCUGUGGGCAAGCAAUAAUCGAGACUAAAGCACGUUCAAUGAAGAUAACCGAGGAGGUUCAACGUCUAGUCUCUGUGACACAGCCAGUGAGGAUGCACUGGACAGGUUGCCCAAAUACAUGUGGACAAGUUCAAGUUGCCGAUAUCGGAUUCAUGGGAUGCCUGACUAGAAAGGAAGGCAAAACUGUUGAAGGUGCUGAUGUUUUCUUGGGUGGCAGAAUAGGGAGCGACUCGCAUUUAGGAGAAGUUUAUAAGAAGUCUGUACCAUGUGAGGAUUUGGUACCAAUAAUCGUCGACUUACUAAUUAACAACUUUGGUGCUGUUCCAAGAGAAAGAGAAGAAACAGAGGAGUAAUCUAAAAUCUUCAGAAUGUACUUUUUAUGAUAUUGAAAUAUUUCCA
rnacentral:misc_RNA from 1 species